ensembl:lncRNA
AGAGAAGGACCUCAGGGCCCAGGGCCUGCUGGCCCCCUGAGGGAAGCAGGACCCCUGCACCAGGUCCCCCGGUGAGUAGGGUGUCGCCUGGGGAGGGGGCCAGGGACUUCCCUGCCCCCCAAGUUGGAAAAUCCGCAAAAUCAAGCACAUCUGGCCCUGAACUUCUGAAGGUCUGGUUAAGAAUUAACUCAGAAAUGUCACAAGUCAGAGGCUCGCGGGGCUUGUCCUGAGGAUCGGGCUCACAGAGAGGACUUCACCCAGCUCCCAGUGCCCAAGGGUCACCCCCACGGCAGGGCCGAGUGCUCCCUGCGCCUACCCCAUCAAGUAGCAGGUCGCCUUUUUACUUUGCUCUCUGAUCGUCAGUACCACGGCCGCUGCCCUCCUGGGAACCGAGUUCUAGAGCUCUCCCUUGGGCCCGUGGAGCACAGCUUCUUCCCUAUCCUUUCCUCGGCCUGUGAUGUGAACAAGCUCCAGCCUGGUGUCCUGAGAGACUGGCGAGGACAGCGCCCUGGGGACUGCGGCUCUGAUGUCCUGGCCUCCCUGGCUCCACCCCCUGCGGAAUCUCGUCUCUGGCCCCAGCUUUGGUUCCUGGCCUGGAAACCUGCCUGCUGUCCUCAGAGAUUUCAGCCUGUCUUGCGUUCCUUUCUUGGAGGGACAGCGUCAGGAGCAGGACAGAGGGGCCCUUCCAAGGGUGAGCCCCUGUCCACCCCGAAGACAUCCCAGGAGGAAGCCAGUAGACUGGGGCUGAGGCACUCAGUCAUUCAACAAGUGGACCUGAGCAGCUCCCGGUGCCCAGCCCAGGGCCUGUGGAUCUCCGUGUUGGUUUUGCCAGAAUGCAGGAAAGACUUGGCUUUGCUGGGCCUCCAGGGGUUGCUGGCCAGUAGGAGGAGUCGCCUGGGGCCCGGGGAGGGGUCGGCUCUGACCUCGCAGGCCCAGGCUCCGCCCUCGCAGGCGCAAGCUCUGCCCUCCACAGGCGCAGCCUCGGCUCGCAGGGCGCAGGGCGACCUGGGGGUUCCUCCGCAGGCUCCCAGGGUCCCCAGGUCCGAAAGCGCUGGCCGUGGCCGUGGUGGGCCGCUUGCGGGGAACUCAGUAGAUCCCUGCGCCACAAAAAUAAAAUACAAGUGCAGAAAGUUUUAUUUUGUGAACACUUACCGUCUGCCUUCUGAAUAGUCAUCUCAGAAUACUUAAAAAUGGAAGAAAGUAAAAAUAAUGGUGAUUCUGCAACCCCACGGGGGCGUUUGCCAGCGCCCGGUGCCUUCCACCGCCGCCCCAGUGCAGCUGCUUGCGAGGUGCGGGGUCUCCUAGUGCCGCGGGGCCGGAGGGGCCCGCUGUUCUCUGUGUGGACCUCUGCAGGGUCGUCCCGGACCACACCGCCCUGGGCACGGGCCGGGGCCGGGGCAGGACAAGCCAGGGACAGACGCACCGACACAGGAUCAACCAUGGGGACCAAGGACAAACAAGCUCCGGGCGCUCAGCCUGUUACUCGGGAGGAGCAGGAUUUGGUGCUGACGCUGGCAGCAUGUGUACUAAAGCUGGAAUGAUACAGAGCUCACCACAGCUCCUGUGCAAGGAUGGAGUGCAAAUUCAUGACGCUCUCAGAGGGGGAGGGGGAGGGGGAGGAAGAAUUCUCCUUCUGGGCCGAUUAGGUCUUAAAAUAUUGGUUUUACUAUUAAAACAAACCCCCAAACAGAAACAAAAACCAAAACCUGAAACCACGUGACUCUUCACUUGGUAUGGGUAACUAAAAGCAGAAUAAAGCUUGACCUGCAGUUGGUAAAACUCUGGGCCAAGUUCUUCUUUGCUCUGCAUAGAGACAUUUUGGUCCUUUGGGAAGCAUCCAUCUAAAAGUUGGCAAAACAAGGUUUACUGGCCCCAGAUUCACCUCGUCCCCCUUUAAGACUGAGGACGGCAAGAGUACCACAGUAAGUUUCAGGAUUUGCCGGGACAGCCGAUGGCCAGAUUUUGCAACAUCCAAUUCCAGGCCUCCCUGGAAUGCCACCCAGUCUCCUGACCUGUCAUCAGCCCAGCUUCCAGGACAGGCAGAGCUGUACAGACUCCCCCACGAUGAGGCACCUGCUCGAAGCAAGAACACUAUUACAGCUGUCAUCAAAAAGUCAGAUUAUGCAUGUACUGAAGAUGUCCAGAGGCUGGACUCCUGCAUUCCAGCUGGAAAAUGGUCAGGCCAUUUCUCAAAAUGCUACCCAUGUAGUUGGUAUUUGACCCAGCAAUUCUGUUCAUUGGUAUCUAUCUGUGAAAAUGAAAACGUGUCCACACAAAACAUGUGCACAGAUGUUCAUAGCAGGAUUAUUCAGCAUGAGCAAAACAUGUAAACAAUCCAAAGGCCAUCAGCAGAUGAAUGGCUACACAAAAUGCAGUGUAUUCACACAGAGGGGGGCCAGGGAUUUAGCUCAGUGGUUCUGCCGCCUGCCUCGCAAGCACAAAGCCCUGAGUUCAAUCUCUGGUGCCAGAAAAAAAAAAAUCAAUUGUCACAUAGUGGGGUACUAUUUGGCCAUAAAGAGGGAUGAAGCAAUGCUAUAUACUAUAAUGGGGAUGAAUUUUGACAUUAUGGAGAGAUCCAGUCACAAAAGGCCACAUCUUGUAUGCUUCCCUGUAUGGGAAAUGUCCAGAAGAGGCAAAUCCACAGAAAAAGAGCGAGAUUAGUGGAUUCUAUCUAGGGUUGAAAGAAAACGGGGUUUGACUGCUAAUGAGUACAUGGCUUUCUGAGGUGAUGAAAAAGUUCUAAAUUUCAUGUUGGAGAUGUUUGCUUCAUCUGGAAGAACCUGUUGGUUGAGGCCACCACAUCCGGGGUGGUUCUUCCCUCCUCAGUUUCCAGCCUACCUGUCAAUCAUCCACAGACAUGCCCAGAGCUUUACUGAUCUCCUGGCCAGUUGUUUCUCCGUCACGUCUGCACUGACAUAUCGUAGUUAGCGAUCACAGAAGACUUAGUCUAAUCGGAGGUUGUGAGGAUUUACAUUGUUAUUUUCUUUUAAGACAGAGUUUUAGUUUUAACUCUUUCAAGUAGGCCUAUCAACCGUUCUGCAUUAGACUUCUAUAUGGGGCACUUUGAACAUGAUAUCUAGCUAUUUCAGCGCCAAAAGUUGGAAAGAAUGUCUCAUCCAUACUGAUUUGUUUUGGGGUUCAUCAAAAAUCAAUUAAGCUUGAAUAUAAUUUAUUUCUGGAGUCUUCAUUGCAUUCUGUUGAACUGCAUGCCAAGCUUUGUGCCAGUGCCGAAAAUGUCUUGACAUUUGUAGCUGUGUAUUGUGUUUUGAAAUCAGGGAGUGUGAGUCCUCCAAGUUUGAUUCUAUCUUUCAAAUUGGUUUUGCUGUUCUUGGUCCCUUGAAUUCUAUUUAAAUUUUAUGAUUAAUUUGUCAGUUUUUACCAAAAAAGCCAGAUGAGAUUGUUGACCAGAUAGCAAUGAAACUGUAGGUCAAUUUGGGGAACAUUAUCAUCUUAUAGCGUUAAGGCUUCCAAGGCCAGAAGCAUGAUGUUUUUCAUUUAUUUAAGACUUCUGGAAUUUCUUUCAAUAGUAUUUUGUAGUUCUCAAAAUACAAGUUUUACACACCUUCUGUUAAAUUUAUUCCUAAUAACUUAUUCUUUUUUGUUGUUGUUGUUGUUUGUUUGUUUUUGUUUUGUUACCAGGGAUGGAACGAGGGACCUUGCGUUUGCCAGGCAAGCGGCAGAACCACUGAGCUAAAUCCCCCGCCCUAACUUAUUCUUUUUGAUCUCAUUGCAAAUGUAAUUUUUCUUAAUUUCCUUUUAAGACCAUUCAUUUAAUAGUGCAUAAAAAUACAAAGACUUUUUGUAUAUUGAUUUUGUAUUCUGCUACCAUGCUAAUUCACUUACUCUCUUUUUUUCCAUCACAGUAGGAAUUGAACACAAGGCCCUCGCCCUGAACUACUUCCCCAGUUCUUUUUGUAUUUUUAAAUUUUGAGACAAGGUCUUGCUCAAUGUCACUAAGUUGCCCAGGCUGGCUUGAACCUGCAAUCCUCCUGCCUCAGCCUCCCAGAAUGCUAAGUUUAUAGUAUGAACCACCAUGCCCAGCGUACUUAUUAUCUUUGAUAAUAUUUUUUAGUGAUUACGUAGGAUUUUUUAUAUGUAACAUUAUGUUACCUGUGAGUAGAGUCUGGUCUUAUUUUUUCUCUUCCAAUAUGAAUUCUGAGUAUUUCUUUUUCUUGCCUAGUUGCUCUGGCAAGAACUUCCACUGC